CCCCUAGACGUUCUGGGCUGCACGCGCGCUACAAUAAUACGCACAGCGAGUAUCACCGAGCUCGAAAGGGCAAGGUAAACAAUAGAAAAGGUACUGUAAUGGUUAUAGAUCCUUGUAAUUAUUGAUCUUCAACGAGGAAUUCCUAGUAAGUAUGUGUCAUCAUCACGCACUGAUUACGUCCCUGCCCUUUGUACACACCGCCCGUCGCUCCUACCGAUUGGGUGAGCCGAUGAAACUCUCGGAUGUAGGCUAUUCAUAGCCCGCAGAAGAGAUUUGAAUCGUNGNGCUUAGNGGAAGGAGAANUCGUANCA
rnacentral:rRNA from 1 species